CGGUGCCACAGUUCACAAAAAGAAGUCGUGGAUUCUCUCUGAUUGGAGGCUUUUUCAAAAAACAGCUUAUCCUUCAAUCAAAUUGGAAAAGGUGGUAAGAAAUGACCAGUGAUUUGGUUAAGAAUGCACAUUAUACUGCAGUACUUUGGGGAAUGAAGCCACCCCUGACUGAGGUGACCAUCAGUUCAGAGGCAAUUCCUUGUUUUAUUUUUGCACUAAUUGCUUAGAGAAAUAGCAAGACAAUAUAAUUUAUGACAAUAAAUCUGCAUUUAACCAAGUUUAGGAAUUUGUGAACAAAAAGGUUAGUAUCUCAGGUAGGUACUUUUGGCAAGAUAUUUAAUUUUUCUCAAUUUCCUCAUCGAAAAACUAAGACCAUUAUAUCUAGUACACAGAACGGUUCUAAUAAUUAAAUUGCAUGUUAUAUGUAAAGCACUUAGCACAGUGCUUGAUAUACUGUAAGAUGUAAUUGCUCAUGCAUUAUUUUCUCUUUUCUUGCAAGGAAGAUACUAAUGUCUAGGCACUCUCUAAAGAGACCUAAGACGCUGUUGAUAAAAUACACUGAUCAACAUAUGAUUUUGGGUUCAAGAAACAGUUGUCAGCAUUAGUAAGUUACUAAUGCAGCAAAUUUUCCAGAAUUUGCUUCACUAUUUCCUUCUAUACUUAACAGAAGACUUGAAAGAUAAUCAGGAAUAUAUUCUGCAUGCUACUUUAGAUUCAAAUCUUUGGCUAUUUUUGCCUUUGAAAUUUAGAACCACUCUAUGGUAACCUAUGUUAGGCUAUAAUAAGGUGAGUAAUGGCAAUGUAAUUGAAAUGGGUGGGGGUAUCAUAAUUGAGUGCUGGUUUCACCUUUCUUACUAAUGGCAUCUAUCUCACAGAGCCGGUGUGAGGAUUAGAUGAAUUAAUACGUGCAAGCUUUAUCAUACCAAAAA